rnacentral:rRNA from 1 species
UACGUAGGGUGCAAGCGUUGUCCGGAAUUAUUGGGCGUAAAGAGCUUGUAGGCGGUUUGUCGCGUCUGCUGUGAAAUUUCGGGGCUCAACCCCGAACUUGCAGUGGGUACGGGCAGACUAGAGUGUGGUAGGGGAGACUGGAAUUCCUGGUGUAGCGGUGAAAUGCGCAGAUAUCAGGAGGAACACCAGUGGCGAAGGCGGCUUUCUGGACCGACACUGACGCUGAGGCGCGAAAGCUAGGGGAGCAAACGGG